AUCCCAGCUAAGCUAAUCAAUUUGCUUAUCUGAUUCAUGGGAGGCAUAUAUAAACGUGGAAGUUUCGCUGACGACACUCUGUUAUUUGUGAGUGUUUUCUGAUAGUAGCUUACCAUACAAGC